rnacentral:rRNA from 1 species
AUUGAACGCUGGCGGCAGGCCUAACACAUGCCAGUCGAGCGGAUGAAGGGAGCUUGCUCCUGGAUUCAGCGGCGGACGGGUGAGUAAUGCCUAGGAAUCUGCCUGGUAGUGGGGGAUAACGUCCGGAAACGGGCGCUAAUACCGCAUACGUCCUGAGGGAGAAAGUGGGGGAUCUUCGGACCUCACGCUAUCAGAUGAGCCUAGGUCGGAUUAGCUAGUUGGUGGGGUAAAGGCCUACCAAGGCGACGAUCCGUAACUGGUCUGAGAGGAUGAUCAGUCACAGUGGAACGGAGACCAGGCCCAGCCCCCACGGGGAGGAGGCAGGGGGGAAUUUUGGACAAGGGGGGAAAGCUGGACCCAGCCAUGCGGGGGGUGGAAAAAAGGUUUUGGGAUUGUAAAGAAUUUUAAGUUGGGAGGAAGGGAAGUAAUUUAAUCCCUUCCUUUUUGGACGUUACAAAAAAAAAAAGCCCCGGCUACUUUGGUG